rnacentral:rRNA from 1 species
AGUCGAGUUGUUGGGAAUGCAGCUCAAAGUGGGUGGUAAUCCCAUCUAAAGCUAAAUAUUGGCGAGAGACCGAUAGCGAACAAGUACAGUGAUGGAAAGAUGAAAAGAACUUUGAAAAGAGAGUGAAAAAGUACGUGAAAUUGUUGAAAGGGAAGGGCAUUUGAUCAGACAUGGUGUUUUUGCAUGCACUCGCCUCUCGUGGGCUUGGGCCUCUCAAAAUUCACUGGGCCAACAUCAAUUCUGGCAGCAGGAUAAAUCAUAA